rnacentral:rRNA from 1 species
GUGUCAGCCGCCGCGGUAAUACGGGGGGUGCAAGCGUUGUCCGGAUUUAUUGGGCGUAAAGGGCUCGUAGGCGGGAUGGUAAGUCUGGCGUGAAAUCUCUCGGCUCAACCGGGAAGCUGCGCUGGAAACUGCCGUUCUUGAGUCACGGAGAGGAAGUCGGAAUUCCUGGUGUAGCGGUGGAAUGCGUAGAUAUCAGGAAGAACACCGAUAGCGAAGGCAGACUUCUGGCCGUUGACUGACGCUGAGGAGCGACAGCGUGGGGAGCGAACAGGAUUAGAUACCCCCGUAGUCC